ACGGCUCAGUAACACGUGGAUAAUCUGCCCUAAGGAGGGGGAUAAUUUCGGGAAACUGAAGAUAAUACCCCAUAGGUCAUGGAUGCUGGAAUGCUUCAUGGCCAAAAGCUCCGGCGCCUUAGGAUGAGUCUGCGGCCUAUCAGGUUGUAGUGGGUGUAGUGGACCCACUAGCCACUGACGGGUACGGGCGUUGGGAGACGUCGCCCGGAGAUGGAUUCUGAGACACGAAUCCAGGCCCUACGGGGCGCAGCAGUUACGAAAACUUGACAAUGCGGGAAACCGCGAUCAGGGAAUUCCAAGUGCAUGCACAUUGUGUAUGCUGUUCCAUUGUCUUAAAAACAUAGGAAGUAAGGGCUGGGUAAGACAGGUGCCAGCCGCCGCGGUAAUACCUGCAGCCCGAGUGGUGGUCGAUAUUAUUGAGCCUAAAGCGUCCGUAGCCGGACCAGUAAAUUCUUGGGUAAAUCGGGCAGCUUAACUGUCCGACUUCCGAGGAGACUGCUGGUCUUGGGACCGGGAGAGGUCAGAGGUACUCCAGGGGUAGGGGCUAAAUCCUGUAAUCCUUGGGGGACCACCAGUGGCGAAGGCGUCUGACUAGAACGGAUCCGACGGUAAGGGACGAAACCCUGGGGCGCAAACCGGAUUAGAUACCCGGGUAGUCCAGGGCGUAAACGCUGCAGGCUUGGUGUUGGGGAUCCUACGAGGAUGUCCAGUGCCGGAGUGAAGAUGUUAAGCCUGCCGCUUGGGGAGUACGUCCGCAAGGAUGAAACUUAAAGGAAUUGGCGAGAAAACAC
rnacentral:rRNA from 1 species